ACCGUCAAAUGUAAAAUUUAACCUGUCAACAGUUGUCAAUUUAUAUUUUAUUUUGCCCGUUAUCCGUAGAUCGUGAUUUAAAUUUGUUUUUGAUUUUUUUACGGCUCUGUUCUUGUGCUUUUUCAUAUUUUUUAACUGUAGACAAUGGUUUUUAAGUGUUGUGUUACUGGCUGUAAGAAUUACCAAAAAGAUGCCCAAAUGCAUAUGUUUCCGAAGGAUCAAAUAGUAAUCAAAACCGUUUCUCGAUAGAUCGCUGAAGUUAAGCGAUGGUAGAUGAUGUGGGUGUAUGGACCGGUAUUACCUGGAAACUCUCUUGUACUGUUGUUAGAAGCUGGAUGAGAUUGGAUAUAUGGUGAACAAUUGAUUGAGGAGUGUCCGGAUUGGUAUCCUAGCAUCACAGAAAUAAGACGAUCACUUUUAUUUCGAAACAGGUAAUCAACACUGUUUCUCGAUAGAUCACUGAAGUUAAGCGAUGUUAAAUGAUGUGGGUGUAUGGACCGGUGUAUAUAUGGAAACUUUGUCGUGCUGUUGUUAGAAGCUGGAUGAGAUUGGAUAUCUUGUGAAUAAUUGAUUGAGGAGUGUCCAGAUUGGUAUUCUAGCAACAUAGAAACAAGAUGUUCACUUAACUUUUAUUUCGUCACAGGCGGGAAAAAAUCAAAAAGGAGGAAAAAACAGGAGAGAGGGCUGUGAAAAUAAAAACACCAAUGGGAAGGGGCGUUUAAGCCGAAAACUAAUUAAUACAAAGAGAUAAAAGGCGAACUGAUUUGGA